ensembl:misc_RNA Y_RNA Y RNA
GGCUGCUCUGAAGUUAGUGAUUUAUCUCAAUUGAUUGUUCACAGUCAGUUACAGAUCAAACUCUUUCUCUCUUCUUACUACUGGACUUAAAUAGUCCUAA